UGUGUUCUGUCUAUUCAACCCUUGACAUAUAUGUAUAUAAUAUUAUAGAGAAAAAGACAACAAAAUCCAAAGCAGGACAAGUAUCUCAAGUAAUUUAGGAUAUUUAAUUAGGGUAAAGUGAAUUCGAAGUCUUACAGCUGUUUCAGAGAUAU